UCCAGGAGGUUCAAGUUAAGGACCAAGUGUGCCAUUGCAAAACGACAAAGAUGGUAGCAUAGAGACAGUUUAGGCCAAGGGUUCUUUACAUGAGUGGGGCCCACUGUUGUACCAUCAAUCCACGUGGAAUUUCAAAUUCAUUUUAAAUAAAGGAAAAAGUACCAUAUGAUGCGGUUCCAAGAGACAGUCUACACACUACGAUGAGUGACAAUAGGAUCCUGACGGUUGAAAAAGCUUUCACAUCGUGCAGGACCUACUGAGCUUUCGCACAUCAGAAGUCGUCUUAUCAAUAGAGUAAUGCAAAUUCAAUCGAAGAGCAGCAACAUACUAAGUUAAAGUUGUCAAUAGCACAAAGACCAAAGAUUGAUCAGAGUUUUACCCCAAGAAAGAUUCAUUUUUCACAAUUGAGUGAGAACUUGGUAUGGUUGCUUAUAUAAGAAACGAUUCUCAACAAUGAAGGAAUUCACUCUUCCACGUCAACCUGUUCCAGUGCAAAAAGAAAUUAAGAAACGAUUUCUUCCCAUUAAGCACCUGGGAAGAAACCUGCACUGGAGAUGCUCUAAUAAGUUUUUUCUAUUGAAGUGACAGAAAAUUAUUAUAAUUGUACUUCAUAUAAUAAUUCUAGUUGGGAAGAACAUCUAUCUGCGUGAUCAUCUGACAUGAAUUUAAACCAUUGGUACUGGAAAUUGGACCAACG